CGGGUGCACCGCCGACCGACCUU
rnacentral:sRNA from 1 species